CUGAUAGAAGCUUGCUUCUAUGACGUUAGCGGCGGACGGGUGAGUAACACGUGGGCAACCUGCCUGGUAAGACUGGGAUAACUUCGGGAAAACCGAAGCUAAUACCGGAUAGGAUCUUCUCCUUCAUGGGAGAUGAUUGAAAGAUGGUUUCGGCUAUCACUUACAGAUGGGCCCGCGGUGCAUUAGCUAGUUGGUGAGGUAACGGCUCACCAAGGCAACGAUGCAUAGCCGACCUGAGAGGGUGAUCGGCCACACUGGGACUGAGACACGGCCCAGACUCCUACGGGAGGCAGCAGUGGUCUG
rnacentral:rRNA from 1 species